rnacentral:rRNA from 2 species
AGAACGACUCUCGGCAACGGAUAUCUCGGCUCUCGCAUCGAUGAAGAACGUAGCGAAAUGCGAUACUUGGUGUGAAUUGCAGAAUCCCGUGAACCAUCGAGUCUUUGAACGCAAGUUGCGCCCGAAGCCUUCGGGCCGAGGGCACGUCUGCCUGGGCGUCACGC